GUGCCAGCAGCCGCGGUAAUACAUAGGGGUCAAGCGUUGUCCGGAUUUAUUGGGCGUAAAGAGCUCGUAGGCGGUUCAACAAGUCGGUCGUAAAAGUUUAGGGCUCAACCCUAAAAUGUCGAUCGAUACUGUUGUGACUAGGAUACGGUAGAGGUGAAUGGAAUUCCGAGUGUAGCGGUGAAAUGCGUAGAUAUCUGGAGGAACAUCAGUGGCGAAGGCGACUCCCUGGCCAAAGACUGACGCUCAUGUGCGAAAGUGUGGGUAGCGAACAGGAUUAGAUA
rnacentral:rRNA from 1 species